AGUAGUUCUGUGUGACCACCUAGCCCUAUAUAAGACCUAUCUAUUUGCUCAGAAGCUAUCAGAGGGUGUGGUGGUACUGCCAGCUGCUGGGUUGUCUGAAGUGGAUUUGAGUUUGGCUUGCAAAUCUUUCUCUGGUUGCUAACAUUCCCUAGCAUCAAUUGUGUUCCUGCCCUGAAGUUACUGGUAUUAGCGAGGCAAGUCCCUAACCACUACUGUCUCAAGGCUGCUGCUGUACCCCUGCAAACAUGGGAGGCAAACUGAGCAAGAAGGGGCUCAACAUGGCUUAUGAGAAACCAAUAGCCCAUGUGGUUGAAGCUACAGAGGCUGCUACAGGGAAGCCAGAAGAGAGGGAGGAGGCCUGCCCUGCUGCAGAGUCAAUGGGACCCACAACUGAGAAGAGGGACCAAGAUUCCCAGGUCCCUGCUGAUGAGACAGAAGACCAGGAAGGAGGUGAAGUCCCUGCAGUGGGUGUGGAAGAGAUCUGUAAACCUGAACCAAGGCAGCUAGAUUUGGUGCCUAAUGAAGAGCAGCUGGUGGCUGCUAUCAGUGAGGAAACCAUUAAAUCUCCAGAGGCUGACCCUUCCCAGCUUCUGGAAGUCUCAACACCUGUAGAUGGUGAGAGCAGACAGGAAGGGGAUGGUGAAUAGAUGGAAUCCCCCCACAUCUGAAUACCAAGUUUCCAUUUCAAGACCCAUCUCUAUGAAGAGGCACCUUCUGCAGAGUGAGCCUGGCAACACUAAUUCAACUCUCUGCUUCUCCAACCUCUGAGACUGUAGCUGUGGAAGAACACCUCAAUCUUUCAGCAACUAUCUGAUCCCUAGCGCUAGAGUGAAAUGGACAGACUGAGCAAUGCUAUUUUAAACUACCUCUUUUGGGUGGUUCCAUCAGCACUGGUGAGCUGUAUUCCCAGCUCUUAGCCAAACUUUAGUCCUUUGUAGGGAAAUAGGCAAGUAAGAUGGCAUGCAUCUGGUACAGGACUUGGUGCAAUGGGUAGUCCAGCCUUAACGAUACAGGAAAUGUGCCCUGUCAGCCAGUCCAGCACAUCUCAGUACCUGACCUGUCACACAAACUUCUGCUGUGCAUAGCCACCUUUAUCUGUUUAAUGUAGAUGCCUGAAUGUAAUUAAAACAGUAUCUAAGGGUUUUAAGGUCUUAAUGUGAUAUCCCUGAUAUGCAAUGAAUGAAUGGCUCUUAUUGUUAUGUUGCAUGAUGAUGUGGCUAUCAGUCCUGAAUGCAGUGAAGAUGUUGUGAGGUGUUGUCUAGCUUUACUGGAACAUGUUAAUUACAAUUCCAGGUCCAUUUUGAGGGCUCAGCUGCCACUUAAAAACCAGAAGAAACUAAUCUAAUUGUUCAGAGGAGAAUAAUUACUAAAUUAUAAACUAAGCAAUCUAUCCUGUAUAUGCAGUAACAGGACACUUGUGGUUUAUGUAAGUCCUUGUAUAGAAUUACCUGCAUUGACUGAUGUCAAUAAAUGUUUUAUACUUGAA